AUCGAUUAGUCCUUAAAACUAUUCACGACCAAAUGAUAAGCUAUUAAUAAAGACGACAGCUUCUAUCAAGCAUAGGUCGCUGUAGGCCAUAUGGGUUGGUUGUCCUCUUAACCAAGGAGUGUGGAGACACUGGUAUGGCAUACAGGUGAGAUAUAAAGGUACAUCAUCAUUGAACGUGACCAACUCCAGAGCAUUCUACUGUCGAGAAUGUCUCUGAUGGGAUAUAGGUAUAAGUAUCUCUUAGACCUGAGAUCGCCUCAGUGACUUGCAAGCAACUCACUGUGCUUUGGUACUGGACUAACUGAAUUUUUAAUUCAGAGAUGGAAGGCUUCUGGGUACAGUCAAGUACUUGCAAAGUCAGAGUGUGAUCGAGAUGGGAUUGACCACUCCAAGAGUUGGAGAAGAAUGAGUUGCUGUAUUUCAAUUUAGCAAAACCUUGGCCAGGGUAAUCCAUCAGAUGGAUUUGAUAUUUUGAAAUAUAAUAUGGACAACCUGAUCAGAGUUGACAGUUGAACUCUGAGAUAUCCUAUGAU
rnacentral:lncRNA from 1 species